UGUGUGCGUCAAAGAGUGGACGUUUGUUUUUUAAAAGGAGUAAGUUUUUAAGGAUCAAGUAAACGCCAAUGAAGGGUUAGAGAGGUUGUUGUGUGGCCCUGUUACUGUGGAGGCUUGUAGUGCCGCCUUUACCUGAAAUAGAAGAUAACUUAAAGGAUCGGAAGGAUGUGUCGCAACUGCAUGACCUGCGGACCCGUGUGCCUGAGGGCGGGCGUCGUGGUCAUCGCGGGAGUAGAACUGCUCCAUGACUGCCUGGUCCUCGGCCUAGUGGCGUGGCGGCUCGCCUUGACCUCAGUGCACUACGAGGCAACCGGGGAUGACAAGGACCCUCAGGAGGUGGUGGCGGUGGCGAUAGAGGUGAUCACGAGGAGCUUCGACCUGGUCUUCUCCAUCCUGCUGCUUUACGGCGUCAUCAAGGAGAGCAAGAGAUACAUCAUGGCGUGGUGGUGGUGGUCCGCGUCCUGCCUGGUCAUCUCGGUGUUCCUGUUCAUCUGGAUCGCCGUGUACCUGGCGAAGAGCGAUCAUCUUGUCGGAUUCCCCAUCGUCAUCUUCGCCUGCAUCGUCGCCCUGUCGAUCCUCUUCCUCGGGGUGGUCAGAACCUACGUGAAAUAUCUGGACAGACGGGAGAUGCUUCCGACCAUCCUGAUCAACGAAGACGACUACGACGACGAUGUAUGAGUGUGUGUGUGUGUGUGUGUGUGUGUGUGUGUGUGUGUGUGUGUCCCAUAACAUUCUGUGUGUGCAAUAAUAUAUCAGUAGUCACCCUCCCAAGGUAUAUUAGUGGGUUAGUGGUGAUCAGUUGCCGCAUGUCUGCCACUCCUCGUAAGAACAAAAUAGUUAUAACCUUAUAUUUUAGUUAUCUUUUAUUUUAACCAUCGUUUCCCUUCCUCUUCUCUGUAGUGAAUAAUGAUAAUGUUAAGUUAAGAGAUGGCAAUAUUCUGUGUACAUAUUCCUUUUACAUAAAAUUCGUGCAUGAAAAUAUUUUCCUCAUAACACAUUCUCCUUACAAUUUCCUUACACCAAUGAUAUUUUUCUUAUCAGAACACUUAUACGCUUUUGUCAUUAUAUAGGAAUGACAUAGCAUAUUGCAAGUGUUGUAUAUGCAUUUUUUUCUUUUUUUAGCUCUUCUUUUUCCCAAGGUGAUUUCCAGUGCGACGGUAGUGUAGGGUGACUUGUAAGGGAUAUAUUUUGUGUUUGUGUUUGCAUACGAAAAAAAUAUAUAUUACGAUAGAAACUAGUUAAGAAAUUAUUUGUUUUAAGAGAUUGGAAGUCAGCAGCUCAAUAACAAAGUGCAAAGAUAGAUAGAGACAGAUAGAUAGAUAGACCCAAGAGAAAGGGAUCAAGACUUCUGUGCUGUUUAUUUAUUUAUUUAUUUAUUUAUUUAUUUAUUUAUUGGCUACCUUCAUUUUUUGUUUUGUUUGUUUGUUUCACUUUGUUUUUGCCCUUGAUCUGCCUCCCUAGAUGUAAAAUAAAAAGUCAUACAGAGAGAGAGAGAGAGAGAGAGAGAGAGAGAGAGAGAGAGAGAGAGAGAGAGGGGGGGGGCCAGAUGGAAAUAGGGUGCCAAGAGAGAAAGGCUAGGGCGCAGAAAAGGAAAAUAAAUAAAAAAUACUACCUAGCCAUUCACCUCCUCAUCACCGCAGAUAGACAGAUAGAUAGAUAGAUUGCGGCGAGCUGCAUCCAAUGAAUGUCAGCCGGGUAAGGAAGGGCUGAUGGGAAGCGUGGGAAUGGUCGCUAUCCUCAGACGCUUCCUCCCCUUACAUCAACUCUCCAAAGGCCGAAAACUAUACCAAUCGCGUUCUAACGAGUGUAUUUAUUGGGUUCAUGGGACAUAGGAAGGGUCAGACUACCAGCAGGGUCUUACAACUACCCCUGGAAAUGCCUCAAACUCCCACGAAAGCCUUGUAUAAUUGUGGUUGUCUGAGGGGAAUUCUUGGGUUCUAACGAGUGUAUUUAUUGGGUUCAUGGGACAGAGGAAGGGUCAGACUACCAGCAGGGGCUUAAAACUACCCCUGGAAAUGCCUCAAACUCCCAUGAAAGCCUUGUCGUAUAAUUUUGCUUGUCUGAGGGAUAAUCUUGGAAGCGUCCGUUGCCAUCCUUCUUGCCCACAGAAAGAUGAGUUGUGGCCCAUACACCGCGAUGGAUGUCUUAGAUGAUGGACUGAGUACCUUAGUGUGUGUGUGUGUGUGUGUGUGUGUGAAUUUUUAUAGUAAACGAGGAAGCUCAAGGGAAAAAAAUAAAUUAUGUCUACGCGGGAAAGAAUGCAAGUGAAGGGGUAAAGAUUAUUAAAUGUAUAUAACAAGAAAAUAAAUAGCUUGGUGAACAUUACAUUAUAAAGCGGAGGAAUAUCACUGGAUUGGACCGCUGAAGGAGGGUGGUUAAUUUAGACGAAAGGAAAGAGGAGAGACAAGGAAAAAAAAAUGUAUACGAACUUUAAAAAAUCCCACAAAAAAAUAAACCACCUCGAUUUCAGUAUAUCAAUAACAUGUCUCCAACCCAAGUAAGUCUUAUAAUUCUAAGUUCUCUUCAAUAUAGAUAUUUAAACGGCCUAACAAACUUUCUAUUGUAGGAGCCGAAAGGGUCUGAAAUUUUUUUUUUUACAACAAAGGAGACAGCUCAAGGGCACACAAAAAAGGAAACAAUAAUAAAAAAAAAAGCCCGCUACUCGCUGCUCCAAAAAACGGGUCUAGAAGCUACAUUUAUAUAAUUUUGGAGGGUUAGGGUUGUGGUGGUGCUUCGAGGCGUAGAGGGGGAAUUCCAGGUUACUCCAAAGGCCCUUCUCACCCUCCCUCUCCCCUACCUGAUAACGGAAGGAGUGAUAAAGGGAUAAAUCUGUCUUUUGUCACCUCAUCCUCUGAACUCCAUCACGUGCACUCCUACAAUAUCUUUGCAUUUCCCUUCCUUUAUUAAUGUCCUCCAGUUCUCUAUAUCUCUGGGUUUCCUUUCCUUUAAGCCCUCCAAUCCAGCCUACCCGUAUAUGUACCCUCUGUGCCUUCUAAGUUAUAUUGAAGGCACUUGUAGCUAUAGAUCAGUAACCUUAGGGCCAUAUUCUUAAACAUUUCGUUAGGCAAUCACACACACACACACACACACACACACACACACACACACACACACAUUAGACAAGGCUUUCUUUGGUGUUGUGGGCCUCUCCACGGGUAGUUUUAUGUCCCUGAUAAUAGUUUGAUAAAGCCUCUUACACCGUGAAAGUAAAAAUAGCUGAAGAGAACGCGAUUUGUCUCCUCUUCGGCGUUUGGAAAUAUUCUAUGCGAGAGGCGGACACGUCUGAGAACACCGACUUUAAUAUCAGCAUAAAAAUGAAUUCCACGAUAAGUAUGCAGAUAAAUUAUACCCGCAAGUUGAAAUCAGAUAAAUAGAUAGAUUGAUAGAGAGAAAGAAUGAGAGAAAGAAUAAAAGGAAGGGAAAAAGAAAACAAAUAAAAUAAGAAUAAAGGCAAAGAAGAUAAAAAAUAAAUGAAAAAAGUAUAUAAAAGAACCCCCCCAAAAAAGGAAUUAAAAACAAAAACGGAAAAACUCAGAAAUUGGUUUGUCAGAGAGAGAGAGAGAGAGAGAGAGAGAGAGAGAGAGAGAGAAACACAACCAACAGAAACACGCACUAACCUUGAGACGCCAUUCUCCUCACUUCGACAUAUCUUGACAAUCUUCUAAACUUUCCCAGCCCGAGUGACGAGGAGAUAAGAUUACAGUUUUUUGAUAGUGGGGCUUUUUUUUAACGCAUUCGGCCUUUCCAACUUAGUGUAAUAUAUCUUUUUUCCUGGGUGUUUAUGCCGAUUUUUUAGUGUGCCAAUAUUUUAGUGAAUGCCGAAUUUUUUGUGUGUAUGCCGAAUUUUUUGUGUGUAUGCCGAUAUUUUAGGGUGUAUGCCGAUUUUUUAGGGUGUAUGCCGAUUUUUUAGGGUGUAUGCCGAUUUUUUAGUGUAUGCUGAGGGUUGGUAUUUCAGAAUGUUUGAUCUUCAGGUUGUACGUAUGUUGGUGGGUUUGUUUGUUUGUUUGUUUGUUUUUACAGCAGAGGAGUCAGUUCAAGGGCAUAAAAAAGGAAACAAAUGUGAAAAAAAAGCCCGCUACUCACUGCUCCUAAAAAGAGUUAGAGGAGUGGCCGAUAGAUACGUCAAUUUGGGAUGUUGGUGCACUCGGAUUCGUUAGUGAUACUUGCUUUUUCUGUAUAGUAUAGGACUCAUCUCAAGGGCAAAAGUAUAGGGAAAAAAAGUAUAUAUGAGUCCCGGCCAAAAGGGAGGUCAAUAUUGGAUGGAGAGAAGUUAUGAUGUUCCCCGCUUAUGGUGAAAUGUUAAUUGGUGCUACUUCAAGAGAAUACCACGAUAAGUCACAAUACAGUAGACUAUUAACACUCCGCCCGGUUAACCUGUUUCUUCCUCUCUUCCUUUCAUUCUUUUUUCGAUUUUUCUUUCAGCCAUAACCAGUUUGUAGUGGUAAGCAAAAAGAAAAGAAAAAAAAAAAAAACGUAUCUCCAGGGUCCACUUUCUCUGCUCCUCUCCUCUGAACCUCUCGAGAGCAGUGCAGUGCUUGACCUCCUGCUCCGCCCCCCGCCCUCUUUCGCCCUCAUCCCCGCUCCCCCUCUGCUCCCCCCUUCAACCCCCCUAUCCCUCCUCUUCCCACCGUGAUAUCUCUGCCACUCAUUGUGAUAGACCUUUUUUUUUCUGUUGUACUCUUAGGUUGGACGAACUGCAUCCUUGUAGGGGUAUUGUUGGAUUUGCCUCCUCAGUAAAAAAAUAAAAAAAGUAGUACAUGUAUAAGAAUUUAAUCUCCCUUCAAAUCCCCCCAAAAACGUUUAAUUAAUCAGUGUAUGCAUUUCAACUCCAUAAUGAAAGUCUCGUUUAUGAAAAAUGUUUGAUGCGGACAUUUUGUGGGUCUUUAAUUGCUUAUAUGGGAUGCGAAAUGACCUCGAGCUGUUAUGUCUGGUAUUUUAAUUCAAGUCUCUCUCUCUCUCUCUCUCUCUCUCUCUCUCUCUCUCUCUCUCAUUGAUAGUAAAGUUGGGGACAUAGGUUAAGCUACGCGUGGCUUCUGUGCUCAUCUCCGUCUCAUUGGCCCUUGAGCUUGAGGCAGAUAAGAAAGACCCCAUCAACUCGUGACUCUUGUCGGUCUCCUCGUUUUCCUUUCUUGUUUUAUGGCAGACUUAGAAAGACCAAGAAAAAGGUAAAAUGUAUGCACUGUCUACCAAGCUCAGUGACAUCCGGGUUAGGCUUCCACCGUCAAUCUUCCCAGGCUCCUCCAGUUUUUUUUUUUUUUUAGUUGUUUAUCAAGGGUAUAGUAAUAAAAGGAAGUUUGUUAGUGGUGAAGGUACAGGUGGGGGAGAAGGAAAGACAAUAUAGGAGUGUAUAGUUGUAUGGUGUAAGUUCCAUAGUUGUUCUGGUGUUGUUUAUUGUUUAUCGGGGACCUUAUUUGUAUACCCCCGGCGUGCUAUUUAUUUAUUUAUUUAUUUAUUUAUUUAUUUUUUUACAGCAGAGGAGUCAGCUCAAGGGCAUAAAAAAAGGUAACAAAUGUGGAAAUAAAAGCCCGCUACUAUUUAUUUAUUUGUCCAGGUUACUGAGCCCGGUGUUAUCUUGUUAGCCUGAGUAAUGUGGUUUUCCAGUGAGUUUAAGAACUGUCAAGGACUCCUACCGAUAGUGUGGUUAUCUAUGGGACGGUAUGCUCGUGUUGCUUCUUCGCCUUCAGUGUCCUCUGCGCCUCCAAGUAGCGCAUUGCCACGUCGCCGCAGCUUGCAAUCUUACCUGGAUAUUCUUAAACGUGUAAAGCGAUACUUCCCUUCAGACUUCAAGCUUUCACUGAUCCAAGAUGGCGGUUCAGGGUCCAAGGGUACUCACGCCUCGCCUCGCCGCGGCUCUCAACGCCACACGCCACGCCCAGGAGUCCUUUAAACCUCAGCAGCACGUAAGAGGGACAUCAACAUCCACUGCGCCGCCCCAGACAACACUGCACGCUGCCAACCUCACACAGCAAGAAGUUAUCAUGCAGCGGCUGCGUGAGAUGGCGGAGGCAGCGAAGGGAGGCGCCGAGUCACGGAUGUCCCCGCAGCAGCUGAGCCAAAUCGGGGCGCACCUCUUAGCCUGGCGAGUGACGUUGACCACCAGUGAAGAGGAGUUGCUGAAUGCGUACCGCGGCUGGGUGCUUACCGCGGAUUACUAAGAAUAAGGAGGAUGAGGGAUAAGUGUGGGUUUAACGAUAAGGGAAGGAUAGGGAAAGGAUGAAGUGUGGGGUGUGUGUUCAAGAAUAAGAGAGGAAAAAAGGAAAAGAUGAGGAAUAGGGUGUUUGACUAAGGAUAAGGAGGGAUAAGGAAAGGGUGACGGAUAGGAUGUGUGUCCAAGGAUAAGGGACACAUAGGUAAAGGGUGAGGGGUAGGGUGUGUCCAAGAAUAGAUGGAUAAGGAAAGGAUAUAUGUCAAACUAUUCAUAUUAAUACGAUGGAUACAUUCAGGAAGAGGUUAAAGUUCAUCGACAGUGAGGUUGGGUGGGGUAAGGAUCACAGGAGCUGCCUUGUAUUGACCUAAACGCUUCUUCCAGGCUCCCUAUGAUCUUUUAGGGUGUGUGAGGAAUAAGGGAAAGGUGAGAGAUGAUGAUUUUUUCAGGAUAUGAGAGGAGUAAAGGAAAAAUGAGAGGAAGGGUGUGUGUGAGUAUGAGUGUUUCCUCUUGUUUUUUAUAUGCUUGUUUAAUGGCAGACGAAGAUAGACUAAGGAAAAGGGUAGAGUGUAUGCAAAUGACUGUACACCAAGCUCAGGACACCUCUCCUCCCGAAAUUGACCUCUCUUUCGGCCCCCUCUUUUGAUUUUUUUUUUUUUUUUUUAGGAGCAGCGAGUAGCGGGCUUUUUUUUUUAUUAUUGUUUCCUUUUUUUGUGCCCUUGAGCUGUCUCCUUUUCUGUAAAAAAAAAAAAUCGUCUUGCUCAAACAUUUCGGCGCCCCAAACCUCAAAUUUGACACGGUUUUCAUAGGAGUUUUGGGCAUUUCCAGGGGUAGUUUAAUGACCCUGGUGGCAGUUUGACCCUUCUUCUGUACCAUGAAUCUAUAAAAACUACUCUUGAGAACCCAGUUGAUCUCGUUUUUGGCCUUUGGAAAUAGUUGAUGCGAGAGGCGGAAGGGUCUGAGAAUACCAACCUGACUGUCCCUGUCCCCCUGCCUGAUCUGUUCGUCCUUUCCAUGACUUGUUUGCCACCUUUUUUGUUUACUCCCGUGGCUUUUUAUUUCCCUUUGGCGGAAGCGUUUUGACUCCCCAGACAUUAUAUGAAACUUGGGGUAAUUUGAUGGUAAUGACGAAAAUGAUGGCGAUAAUAAAAGUGAUGAUUGCUUU